ensembl:lncRNA
CACUAAUGUAAGUUUUCACAUUGUAAAAUUCUUAAAAUAAUUUCUUCUUCUUCUUCUUCUUCUUCUUCUUAUUAUUAUUAUUAUAGUGUGUACAGUUCUGUAAUAAUAUCAGGAGCGUGCUAAAUCUGCUUAAAGUUGUUUUUUGUUUUGUUUUUUGAGGAUGAAUUAAGCAAGUGUUUCCAUUAGCUGGAAUUAUGUGUGUGUGUGCAUGUGUGUGUAUGUGAGUAUGUGCGUGUGUGUGUGUGCGCGUUUGUGUGUGUGUGUGUGUGUGAGUGUGUGCGUGCAUGUGCGCGCGUGUGUGUGUGUGUGCAUGUGUGUGUGUGUGUGUGUGUGUGCGUGUGUACAUGUGUGUGUGUGCGUGUGUGUGUUUGUGUGUGUGUGUGUGUGUGUGUGCAUGUGUGUGACUGUUAUUUCAGCUCACCAUCUCAUAAAUUGUACUCCAUCUGAAAGCGAUAUUCUGAAACCAUAUCGUUGGAAAAAGCCGAAACUUGACGCCAUUUAUUUUCUCAGAGUUUUGUUUAAAGCAGACCGCAGAGCUCGAGUUAAAAAAAAACAACAUCAGGACAAAAGUGUGUAUUUCAUUCCACUCGCUUCCCUCACACAGGAACACUGCAGUUCAUCUGAGUUUCAUUACCAACUUCCCACAGCACAACACACCACAGUACAGCACAGACCACCCGCUCACACACUACCUCCUGCCACCUCCUGUACUCAUACUGCUACUCCUACUACUGCUACUUCUACUCAUACUGCUACUACUCAUACUGAUACUUCUACUACUUCUACUUCUACUCAUACUGCUACUACUCAUACUGCUACUCCUACUACUGCUACUUCUACUCAUACUGCUACUACUCAUACUGAUACUUCUACUACUUCUACUUCUACUACUUCUACUUCUACUACUGCUACUUCUACUACUUCUACUUCUACUCAUACUGCUACUACUCAUACUGCUACUACUCAUACUGAUACUUCUACUCAUACUUCUACUACUCAUACUGCUACUACUCAUACUGAUACUUCUACUACUGCUACUUCUACUACUUCUACUUCUACUCAUACUGCUACUACUCAUACUGCUACUACUCAUACUGCUACUUCUACUCAUACUGCUACUACUCAUACUGCUACUUCUACUACUGCUACUUCUACUCAUACUGCUACUUCUACUUGUACUCAUGCUGCUACUACUACUGCUACUUCUACUACUCAUACUGCUACUUCUACUUUUACUUCUACUACUCAUACUGCUACUACUACUGCUACUUCUAGUGCUGCUCCUACUACUAUUGUUACUGCUACUCAUACUGUGUGUGUGUGUGUGUGUGUGUGUGUGUGUGUGUGUGUGUGUGUGUGUGUGUGUGUGUGUGUGUGUGUGUGUUUGGGAAGUGUAGUUAUCAGCCAUGUUUGUAGUUAGUGGUGCAUUCUGGGAAAUGUAGGCGCUGGCUUGUGAUGACAUGACAACUUUACAGUUAUUUACUUGAUUUAAAGGUAUUUAGUUUUCUGAUAUUUAUUUUAACAUACACUCCUUCCAGUACUUUAAGUUAUAUAUAUGUAAAUUAUGCAAGUAAGUUAGUGUGUAAUGUUAUUAAAAUGCAUAUAUUCUCUAAAAGCUGAAAGUCCACGCUGUGCAAAUAAAAAUGUGCUAUUUUUAUCCAUUUCUCGAUACCCGAGGCUUUAAUAUAUAUGCUACUACACAAGUUAUUGACAUCAGUUCAGCUAAAUCUGUUAAAUCUACAGCUAAACUAAUAAUUGACAUAAAUUGAAUUAAACUAUUAGCGACAUGCAGAUGAGAAUUAUGGAUUGUAGCAGUGUGAAGGUUAAGCUGAAUUUUCAUUAGCCUUAACUAAAUUGGAUUUGUAGUGCAGCCAGGAAACAAUAACAAACCGUGUGACAAAACAAAUGUGUUCACACUUAAUUUAGCUUGUUCAAAGCGUCUCUGUGACACGUGUGUGUGUGUGUGUGUGUGUGUGUGUGUGUGUGUGUGUGUGUGUGUGUGCGUGUGUGUGUGUCAAGGUCAUGCCUACAUGCUUCAGGACAGAAGGCAGGCGAGAGCAGCUGAAUUAACCGAGUGUAACCUGAGCUGAGGAGUAAAAUAUUUACUGAGGCCUCAAGGCCGAGAAAAAAUAAUACAGCACACAUGUGCUUUCCUCAGAAUUAAAUUUACAACUAAUUUUAGAAUGACGGUACUUUGCUCCUGUACUGGUCAAUCUGUAUCGACUGUAAAUACUACUAUACUGUAUUCUGUACAUAAAAUUUAAAUGCUUUAUAUUUAGCUUACUAACAUUAGAAGGAAUUUAAUUAAAAGUUAAAUCAAAUAAAAUAAAAUUCUCCUGUAGUGAAGUUAAAUAAAUAUUUAU